rnacentral:rRNA from 1 species
UACGGAGGGGGCUAGCGUUGUUCGGAAUUACUGGGCGUAAAGCGUGCGCAGGCGGUUGUGUAAGACAGAUGUGAAAUCCCCGGGCUCAACCUGGGAACUGCAUUUGUGACUGCACAGCUGGAGUGCGGCAGAGGGGGAUGGAAUUCCGCGUGUAGCAGUGAAAUGCGUAGAUAUGCGGAGGAACACCGAUGGCGAAGGCAACCUCCCGUGGCUGACACUGACGCUCAUGCACGAAAGCGUGGGGAGCAAACAGG